AGGGGUACAGCUCAGUGGCAGAGCGUGUGCUUAGCGUGCACGAGGUCCUGGGCUCAAUCCCCAGUACCUCCA
rnacentral:tRNA from 1 species